CACGUAGUUAGCCGGCGCUUCUUCUGCAGGUACCGUCACUCCGAAGAGCUUCUUCCCUACUGAAAGAGGUUUACAACCCGAAGGCCGUCAUCCCUCACGCGGCGUCGCUGCAUCAGGCUUUCGCCCAUUGUGCAAUAUUCCCCACUGCUGCCUCCCGUAGGAGUCUGGGCCGUGUCUCAGUCCCAGUGUGGCCGGUCACCCUCUCAGGCCGGCUACCCGUCGUCGCCUUGGUAGGCCAUCACCCCACCAACAAGCUGAUAGGCCGCGAGCCCAUCCCCAACCGAUAAAUCUUUCCACACACACCCAUGCAGGCAUGCGUCAUAUCCAGUAUUAGCCACGAUUUCUCGCAGUUAUCCCGAAGUUGAGGGCAGGUUACUCACGUGUUACUCACCCGUUCGCCACUAAUCCACCCCAGCAAGCUGGAGCUUCAUCGUUCGACUUGCAUGUGUUAAGCACGCCGCCAGCGUUCGUCCUGAGCCAGGAUCAAACU
rnacentral:rRNA from 1 species